CGCUCUCUCUCUUUUUUAGUCGCUUAGCAACUUCUCAGACAGGAAGCAGUGUUCCCAGCAGUUCUGGCAGACAAUGAAUGUGAACAACACUUCUUCAGCACGGGUCAGAACACUGGUAAUUUCAGUUUGGAAUGAGGCUCUGGGAACCCGACUUGCUUCCUGAAUGAAGACGGACUAGAGCGCUUCAG
rnacentral:lncRNA from 14 species